rnacentral:rRNA from 1 species
CAAGUCCCUCAUGGCCUUUAUGCCUAGGGCUACACACGUGCUACAAUGGAUCGUACAAAGGGUCGCGAACCCGCGAGGGGGAGCCAAUCCCAAAAACCGGUCCUCAGUUCGGAUUGGAGUCUGCAACUCGACUCCAUGAAGUUGGAAUCGCUAGUAAUCGUGGAUCAGCAUGCCACGGUGAAUACGUUCCCGGGCCUUGUACACACCGCCCGUCACACCACGAAAGCCGGAUGUACCAGAAGUCGCUGGCCCAACCCUUCGGGGAGGGUGGCGCCUAAGGUGUGGUCGGUGAUUGGGGUGAAGUCGUAACAAGGUAACCGUA